CUAGGGGAGGCAGCAGUGGGGAAUAUUGCACAAUGGGCGCAAGCCUGAUGCAGCCAUGCCGCGUGUAUGAAGAAGGCCUUCGGGUUGUAAAGUACUUUCAGCGGGGAGGAAGGCGUUGUGGUUAAUAACCUCAGCAAUUGACGUUACCCGCAGAAGAAGCACCGGCUAACUCCGUGCCAGCAUCCGCGGUAA
rnacentral:rRNA from 1 species